AGAGGGAUUGCUGGGUCAAAUGGUGGUUCCAUUCCCAGAUUUCCAAGGAAUCUCCAUAUUGCUUUCCAUAUUGGCUGUACCAAUUUGCAGUUCCACCAGCAGU
rnacentral:pre_miRNA from 1 species